GAUCGAACAUUAAUAUCACAAAUCCAAGAUUAUUCAUAACCCCAUCUCAAAAUCAAAAGCAAAUACUUUUUUCCUAACCCGAUAUCUAGUUUGAUUAAUGAGAAGAAGAAGAUAUCGAACUUUUAACUUUGAUUUAGUUUUUACUUGAGAUUAUUAUUAUCUGAUUAGAUUAGAAUAGAUUAGAUUGGUAUGGACGUAUUGCAUAAUUCGAUCUGAAGAUAUAGAUCCAUCAUCGACGACAUCAUGUACUGUUAUUGGUAUUAUUUCUGGUGGUGAUGAAGACCCAAGAUGAAGAUUCAAUCAGGAGUUUUAAAGCAUGGGUUUUCUCAGCUUUGGUGGUUGCUACUCACAAACCUGAAUCUGCUGAUUCUUGCCAUUAAACAAGCAUUUUAUUUGAACAUACUGGAAGAAGCAGAGUUCACAAACCUGAAUCUGCUGAUUCAUUGAGGCAGAGAAAACCCCUAUAUCAUCUAAUCAACAUUAAAAUCUCAGAGGUUUUAGCUAUUUAUUUGUAUACCUUUGUGCGGAGGUUUGGAAUCGACAAUAAAUGCAGCUAAGAAGUCUGGGGUUUUGAGUUCUAUAAUUAUUUCUUGAGUUGCUGAAUUUUUCUAGUUUUUUUCGAUUUUUUGUUUGAUAAAAUUUGUCUGGUGUUAGUUGUGAAAUGGGGUUUGAUAAGAACCAUGAUGGAUUUUGUUUUUGGUGUUUGAUGUUUGCAGGGAUUUCUCUCGAUGGUAAGAAGAGUAAUUUAUAUAAGUACUAAAUUUUCACAUUGAUGAUUUUUGUGUUCUUUGUUUGAUGUUCACUAGAAAUAUCUGGAUACUCUGAAUUGGUUAAUAUGCAAUCAUAGGUGCUUAAGUGGUCUAUUAUCAUACGUUUCUCAUUUCAUAUCUCUGACCUUCACUCCUACCACUACUUCAAAAGCCUUUAUCAUCUAAAGGAAUGGAGAUAAAUAAUUUUGUCCUGACUCUGUACUAACCUGAGGUUAGGAAAUGAUUUGUUGAAUAGAGGUUAAAAUAUUAAUAUAUAAGAUAAUUUUAAUUAAGAUUUUUAUAUGGUUAAUGAAAUUUUGUAUGAUUUAUUUCGAAUCGGUUCUCAACCACUUUGUUCCCCUUAAAACAUGAUCUUUACGUAUAUGUGGCCACCAGUUAGGAUCGAGAUUAGUUUUACAAUGAACCAGCCAGUUUGAGUUUCUUUUUAUAGUCACUUUAGUUUCAUUCAUCUAGAAAAUUUAGUAGAAACUUGGUAAUAAGUGGUGAAUAAAUUGUAUUCUUUGUAUGACGCCACAUAUUUAUAGAAUUAGCAUGAUCCUAUGCCCUUGCUUCCACCCCUACGUUACAUCAUUCUAAUGAUCAAGCUAAUAAGAAAUAAUAUCAUCUUAUCUCCUUUCCCCACAUUUAUGUAAUGUUGAUUACUUUCUCUGCUAUGUGGUGUAGAUGAUUUGUCUAAAAUAUGGUAUGUGCUUUUUGUUAGGUGGUUGCUGAGUUGUGGGUGUUGUUCAUGUACUCUGGAUUGUGGGGACUGUUAGUGGCAAUGAUGAUUCUAUGGCUGGCAGUCAAAAGGAGUAGAGUGCUCAAUUUGAGAAUUGUGUGAUUAAUUUGCAUUUGAUGGUUCUUCAGUUUCAAGUAUAUUCAUUUUCUUUUUGGUGUAACUUCUUUAAGAUACACUUUGCUCCAUUCAGCGAUGUGUAUUUGGAUAUUCAAGUAGCAAACAAGUGAGGAAGACUGUUAACCUAGAUAGGGCAGGUGCACAUGUUUUGAUAAACAAGGCAAGGAUUGAGUGUCAAAGACGCAGACUCACAGUUAAGGAUCCUGUAACUAUUUGUGCAUUGCUCGAGGUAUAUUAUUCCAAUCAGUUGGGCAGCUCAGUUCAUCUUUUUGCUGGUUUUAGUUUAUUUCAUCAUCUGUAUGUUGAUCUGUAGGUUGGUUUCCGCCUAUUGUAAGAAAAUACAUCUUUAAGAACCUGAAAUGAUGUUAAUUCAGUAGUUAUGUGGAGUUUUCUGUAGGUUGGUUUCCGCCUAUUGUAUAUCGUACAAUAAAUUUCAAAUGGUGAAUGUUUUGAUCAGUUUAUGAAAUAAAUUUCUAGUUUCAGUUUAA